rnacentral:rRNA from 1 species
AUUGAACGCUGGCGGCAGGCUUAACACAUGCAAGUCGAGCGGGGUGAUGGUGCUUGCACUAUCACUUAGCGGCGGACGGGUGAGUAAUGCUUAGGAAUCUGCCUAUUAGUGGGGGACAACAUCUCGAAAGGGAUGCUAAUACCGCAUACGUCCUACGGGAGAAAGCAGGCGAUCACUUGUGACCUUGCGCUAAUACAUGAGCACAAGUCGGAUUAGCUAGUGGGUGGGGUAAAGGCCUACCAAGGCGACGAUCUGUAGCGGGUCUGAGAGGAUGAUCCGCCACACUGGGACUGAGACACGGCCCAGACUCCUACGGGAGGCAGCAGUGGGGAAUAUUGGACAAUGGGGGGAACCCUGAUCCAGCCAUGCCGCGUGUGUGAAGAAGGCCUUAUGGUUGUAAAGCACUUUAAGCGAGGAGGAGGCUCUUUUGGUUAAUACCCAAGAUGAGUGGACGUUACUCGCAGAAUAAGCACCGGCUAACUCUGUGCCAGCCGCCGCCGUAA